rnacentral:rRNA from 1 species
UACGGAGAGUGCGAGCGUUGUCCGGAAUCACUGGGCGUAAAGGGCGCGUAGGUGGCGACCCAAGUCGAUGGUGAAAGCUCGCCGCUCAACGGCGAGUCGGCCACCGAUACUGGGUUGCUGGAGCACUGUAGAGGCUCAUGGAAUUCCGGGUGUAGCGGUGGAAUGCGUAGAGAUCCGGAAGAACACCGGUGGCGAAGGCGGUGAGCUGGGCAGUUGCUGACACUGAGGCGCGACAGCGUGGGGAGCAAACAGG